rnacentral:lncRNA from 1 species
GUUUGUAUCUUCAUAAUUGUUAAAUUGUACAGAUGUUGCUCAAUACUAGUAGCCCUUAAAAGUCUUCUUUACAGACUUUUUUAGGAAAUGUAUAUGGCAAGUUCAAAUUUUCUAACGUUUUUCUAACUUGAAAAAAAGUAUGACAUUUGUAUGAAGAUUAAGUGGUGUUGUAUUAUGCUUGAAUCUUGACUGGUAUUCAAUAUUAUCCAGAAAAUCAUAUUGGUUGAUUUGUUGACAUGAUGACACAUUUGUUGUGUAGAUAAAAUUGUUUUGUGAAGAAAAAGUAUCUUUGGAUGGUGAAAUAGUGAAAAAUAAUCUAUAAUUGUCACUGAUAUUCCAUUUUUUUCCAUAUAUGUUGUAUAUCCCCAUCUAUGGAUUACUAUUUAAAGAAGGUUUCACCUGCGACUGAUAAGUCUAAAAACAAGGCUGACAAUGAACCUUUUAAAAAUGUUUACAUUGAAGUACAAUAAAUUAAAAUUAAUUGGGAAAGUUGACUUGAUGUAAAAAAUAUGACAGCUAGCAGGGUCCCAAUGAUGAAAACUUGCAUUUUGUUGUUGUUGUUAUCUUUCUUCACACAAUGUUUACUAUCCCAGUUUUAUACCAAUAAUCAAGUGAUUUGCAAUAAUAAAUGUACACAUUAAUUUUUGAAAUCACAAUAAAUAAAAAAAUAUUAUUUUUUUUCUAAAUUCAUAAUUUAUCCUGUGAAAGAAGUCAUUGAUGUCUGUAAGGAUAAAUUAAAAUAAUAUUUUUUUAUUUCUAAACUAUAUUUAGUGCUUUUGGUAAACAUUUUCUUUUUGUGGCCUAUACCUUUAAUGUCUUGUUUAUAUGUGAUAGUGCUAUUACCUCCCUUUAAACAUUAACCUUUUAAUACAUUAUUUGUUGUAUACAUAUGCUUAUUUCACUGUAUGUAGAAGCAUGUUAUAUCAUUAUUUUUGUACUUAGAAAAUGGAUCAUAUUUUUUUGAAUUAAUGAAAUGUAUUAUAAACAUAAAAUAAGAUGAAGUUGAUAUUUACACAAGAUAAAUAAAUGUAUUAUGAGUGGACACUUUUGAAUUAAAUUUUACAUAUCAAUUCUGGUCUGCAAGGUGUUAUUAUCUGUCAAAGGAGUUGUGAUAGAUUAUUUAUUUUAUGCAAAAUUGUAGUCAAUUUAUGAAUUAUAACUUAUUCAUUUUAAUAUUAAGAAAAUGUAAAAAUUAUUUAGUUUGUGAGCCAAGGGAAACUUAAGGCCCUUAAUAGCUUGCUGUUCAGGGAACCAAGGCUCUGAUUUAAAGACAGAACUUUGAUCUAUAAUGGUUUACUUUUACAAAUUGUGACUUGAAUGGAGAGAUGUCUCAUUGGCACUCAUACCACAUCUUCUUAUAUCUGUAUAGUAUACACUUUUUCACUGUUGAAGUCUGUAAUAAAUGUUGUCAAACAUGACUACAUUACUAUUUUUCUGGCAACAAAAUUUUCAGCAGUAUCAUAAACACCUAAUUCAAGUAAUUGGAUCAAGUUUAUUUUAGAAUGAAUACUUACCUAGAUUUCUUACUAUUUAAUGAAUAGUUGCAUUUGUUUCUAGGUAUCUCAAUAGUGUACAGAGCAUAGGAUUAAACCCUUGAUCUUAGCUUACGUGACUUCAGAUUUUCAAAAUGAAGUGUUCUUACUACAUAUGUUUGGAAAUAUUUAUGAUAUACCAUUCAUAUAUAGUAUACUGUUGCUUUUAUAUCUUGCUAUGGGAGUACAUGAGGCUCUGCACCAUUUGUUAUGCUUCAGAUACUUUAUAAUUUUCCUAAUUUAUCGAAGAUUUUUCUAAAUACUUGCAUUUGUGAAAAUAAAUGUGAAUAUACCAUUGAUAUCUUGCUUUCCAUUGCAUUUGCAGAUCAACAGAUUUCUAAGUCAACAUUUAUACAAUGUCAAAAUCACAAAGCAGGACUUAGAACUAAAUAAAAAAUUAGCAGAAUCCAACCUUUACCCCUGAAACAGCAGGUUAUUUAAUAUAGGAAACUUUUAUCCGCACUAAUUUUCAGAAAUGUUGUGUCUUUUCAAACCCUUGAAUGUUUGUUGUAAGUAGUAAGGAUAAAAUGUUAUAGUUAGUUAGUUUAGUGUAUACAUGUUAAAAUAACAAAACAAUUCAAAACCAUUGAAAACUAAGAUAUGAACAUUCUGUUUGGUUUACACAUCUGAUGCAGUGUACUCCUUGCUAGAUAGAAAAUAAAUCAUA